GGCCUGGGCGGUGUUUGUCCAGCAUGUGACCAUCUACCGCCAUGGCCGGGCCAGGAGCUGCUUUCCGUCGCCUUGCUGCCUUGUCAGGAGCUGGGGCCUUGGGCUUGGCCACCUAUGGGGCUCACGGCGCUCAGUUCCCGGAUGCCUACGGGAAGGAGCUCUUUGAUAAGGCCAACAAACACCACUUUUUUCACAGUCUGGCCCUGUUAGGAGUACCCCAUUGCAGAAAGCCCCUCUGGGCCGGGUUGCUGCUAGCUUCUGGAACCACCUUAUUCUGCACCAGCUUUUACUACCAGGCUUUGAGUGGAGAUACUAGCAUCCAGAUGUUGGGCCCAGUGGGAGGGAGCCUGCUUCUCUUAGGCUGGCUUACCUUGGCUCUUUGAAGUUUCUUUUUCGUUACUGAGCUUUUCUGGGUACUUUUGUGGAAAGAUGAAACAGAAAGGGAAUUAAAAAAGAAAAGCAAAUAACUUUGGAGCCUUUAUUCAUCAAAUCAAGCUCUUGGAGAGGAAAGGUGUCCAAGGUAUAAAAUCAUGUUGGCCCAACUGCAUAUCUGGAAGCUGAUGAUGAUUUAUCACCACCAACACUGCUGUCACUCUGGUCUCCGGUCCAAGCCAUCAUCAUACUGUACCUAGAUUGUGUUAAGAACUUUCUCCCUUGUGUAUGGUGUGAUCCCAGCAUGCAAGAGGCUGAGGCAGGAGGAUUGCUGCAUGUUUGAAGCAAGCCUG